UACUAAAAAACUAUAUUUCAAAUAGUCACUACGACACAUCUACGGCUCCAGAAAAAGUGAUUGUCUCUGUAAACGUAGCUAUUAUUUUAAACUUUACUUCGACAACGAUAAAAACUUAAAAUUAACUUCAUUGUGAAUAAGUGAUGGUAUCAGGAAAGGCGAAUGAAUGGUUUAACGAUUUACUUCAAUUUUAUUAACAGUCGUAAAACUGUUCUCGAACCAUAAUGCUAAGCGUUCAUGCAUCUGUCAAACUCAUGUGAAAAAUGACCGCAGCGCGGGUCAGAGAUGCCAGAUGAUUUGAAAAAAUAAACUCAGCACAGAUUUAUGAAAAAAUCUUUUGGACAAAAAAAAAUUAAAUUUUGAUUAUUGAGUCGAUAGUGUGGUGAUACGAGACUACAAGAUAUAGAGAAACUAUAGUUGUGAGAACAAACUGAACAUGACGACAUCCCAGGUAUAGAGAGAGCUAUGGUUCAAUCGGGAGAGGAAUCAUAAUGACACGCGGAAUAAAGUGUCGUUUGUGAACUUGUGAAUAUGAGGAACCGAAGUGAUUCCUUGGUGUGCAAAUGUGUUACUUGUGGACAAAUCGAAGGGUACCACAGAUAGCAAGCAGCAUUAUAAUUGAUGGUGGUCGAAUGUUAGAUACAAAGUUAGAAUUUCUUAUAAAGAUACCAAAAUUAACCCAAUGUAAAACUCAUUUCUGUUUGAGUUUAGGAAAAAUCAGUUAUUCUGCUUUCGUUUAAUUAGAUUUCAGUAAUAAGUUAUUUAAACUCUAUGUCCUUGAAAUUUGCCUUUUAUAAAAUUCAUCGAUCACUUUUUAUUUGUUUUUAAAAUUUAAUUUCAUAUUGGUGAAAUUUUGAAAAAUCAGUCUAGUCGGCAUCACUGCCGACAGCAUAAAAAACAACAACACUUCGUUUACCGCGCGCGUUUCUCGAAAAAAAUCUCGUGUGCCAUUCCAGCGGCUGCAGCAAGUCCCCUCAAUUUGGCCAUCGACUGACGGACUAUCUGGACAGAACAAACGGGAAAACGGACACCAGCGAUGUUUGCAACAGCAACAUAUUCGCUGGAGGAGCAAUUCCACGCUGAAUGGAGCCAUCCUGUCUUCGAGGUUCAGCAGCUAAGCGAAUGUUCCGCCAGUGUGUCGGAAAUGAGACCUCGUCCCGGUGGAGGAACUAAUGACAACAAGUUAACAGUCCGAGUCGGAAGGGUGAAAAAUGGAUCUAAGUUGGUACCCAUCGCUCCAGGAGGAUUUUUUUUCCAACUCGCACAUCCAGUGUUUUUCGAUGAAUAGUUGACGGUAAUUAUGUUUAUAAUUAGGUCAGUAGUAUAUUUUACAUCGAGUGAAUAAAAAAAAUAUUUAAAAAUCGAAAAA